ensembl:lncRNA
AUGAACACUGUGGUUUUGCGAGGUUGGCACAGUGCCAUCCACUCAGCGCCGGUGCCAAAGAGGGCGUGUAGGCAGGGUGGCACUACAGAAGAGAGAGGAGGAGAGACAGAUAACAAGAGAAAAGAGAGGCAUCAUCCUCCAAACGAAAUGUUCCCGAGCACUGGAUUCAAAAAGUUGGAGCCCUUUGAAGAUCCAUCCGCCAGCUCGUCAGCAUGGCAACUGUGCUUCGCCAUCCUGCGUUCCGCUGUCUCCUUCGUGACCGUGCCAGGCUCUAAGUAGGCACAUCCCCUAGAGAGUAAGCAGCAGAUGCCCCAAAGUCGAUGCCACUCAACGCGGGUACGAUGGCAUCUGCUCAGUCAUAAUGGAGAUAUGCGACAUGUCUUGUUACUCUCGUUGGCACGCGCCAACCUUCGGCAGUGUGCCAGGAUCUCUGCACUGCAGUAUGCCGCUGGGAAGUUGGCGGUGGCUUGGAAAUGGCAGAGUGCCAGCACGUUCCUGCGGUAACCAGCCCCUGACGCAUGUCACUUGGCAAAGACAAAGAGCCCUAGGGACGAAACACAAAACAAGAUUGAAAAACACAGUGAUCCGACAGCUUAAUUAACACUCACAGAGUUUGUUGGGUUAAUUAGUGUGACAGAUUUGGUGAGGAGGAAUAUGGCAGGAACACUUGUGAGAACAAAAGUGAUGAGCAACCCAGACUGAUGGAAUGUCAUCGGAUGCCAUCAGUAACUCUGCCAACCCUGUGCCAAUGGCACUUUACAUUCAACAAGGUUUGUAAAAGGAUAAAUGGAAUGAAAAGGAAAACAUCAAGAAACUGUCAUUCAAAAACAAGUUUGUUUCAAAUUUUGGACAAGACAGAAGAUUGAGGAAACAAGUGUGGAAACAAGCAAACAGGAAGAAGCUAAAGAAACCACAGGCCUUGACUUACCAUACAGUGACUCAACAGAUCAAUUCAAACACUAAAGUCAUUAUGGAAUAUGGAUUUUAUGUACUACAAAAACAAAACAGAAUGGUUUGCACAAAUGAACACAAGCAAGAGUGAAUUUUCUCUGGUACGUCGGGAACACCAAAAGGAUACAUGUUGGCGGGUGUUAGUAUGGUGAAAUUUACCAGGAGGAUGCACUACUUUUGCAAUUUUAUGGACCUACUAGAGCUUUCCAAAUGCAAGGACAGGACCUUAAACCAUCAUAUAUGCAGUAAUGAGUGAUUUUGUGCUUGAAUACCUGUUCUGAGGAUCCUCAAAACUUCCUGUUGAGUCAGAGAGAAGGUAAUGAGAGUGAGUGGAGAAUUCAGUCCCUCACUGGAUGUGUUUGACAUUGUAGAGGAGCAUAAAUAAUGCAGAUUGUCUCUCCUCCUCUUCCUUCUGGUGCUUUCUGAAGGAAGGGAUUUACACACCUUUGUGCUUCGAAUCUUUCAUUGGCAUUGUUCUCGUUAAAGCGACGCAGGAUUGGUUCCGAAACGGGCAUUGUUUUCAGCAUAACCUUCGAUAAACAAGUUCAAAUUAGACAUUAACAACCUCAUGAAAUGAGCCGAUUAAUUUGCGGGGCUUUUUUUCGCUUUUACGUCUUUCUUUGUACCGAUUGUGGACAAUUGUGUACGGAUAUGCUAAUCACGCUGUAUUAAUGAGGUUUGUAUCGCUGGGAUUCUCUUCUUUACUCCUGUGGGGAUCUUAAUUUUACCUCAUCUUUAUUAUGUAAAUGGAUUAUGCCCAAAAAAACUGCAUGCGCACACACACACACACACACACACACACACACACACAGACACUAACACAAAAGGGGAGCGUCAAAGGAAGAGGGAAUAUGGCAAGAGUGGAGGUGGGGGGUGGGGGGUUGCAAGAAACUGCACAGAAUUCUGAAAGGAUCUUUCUCCUCAAUGCACCAUGUACCAAGACACAUGGCAAACGGUUUUUUUUCUCUCUCUCUUUCUUGUAGCUAUUUCUGCUGCAGUAGUCCUGCAAUGGAGUGACAGAGACGAAGAUGGGAUUUACUAGAUGUAAAGAGAGAAAAAGAGCAAGUGAGAGACAGAGAGAGAAUUCAUUAAUAUCCUGAGCUUAAUCAUGGCACAUGAGAUUGGCUGUAUGCAUACCUCAUUUGCAUCUCAUUAAAUUGCUCAUGCACCUGCAGAGAGAGGGGAGAGGGGCAGAGGACGGCACAACGAGAAAUGAGGGUCUUGUUUCAAUAUGCAAAAUGUUUCUUAAGCAGUUGCUUCAUUUUAUUUUGAAAUAUAUAUAUAUUUAUAAUUACAGUAUAAUGUGCAUUUAAAAGAAUGUUUUUUGGUUUUUUUUUUUUUUUUGAUGAUGCAUUCCAUUUUUCUAUUUACUUGCCAUAUUUUUUAUGAAUAUUAAAAAAUGCAUUUAUUUUCUUUCAUGAAUGUUCUACAUACAUACAUUAACAUAUACACAUUGUUUUAAUCACAUAAUGUACUUAUAUUCCAUGCCAAUGCUCUGUGACAUUUAACACUUAAAAGCACUCUUUGGGAAAAUAAAAAUGAGAUUUUAAGAUAUCGGUGCCUAAAAUAAACCAUAUGUUUCAGAGGAUGUAAAGUCCAGCACAGGCCAGCAGUUUAACGUAUGCAUGAUUAGUAUGCAGCUCUUUGCGUUCUUUAAUAGAACUCAGGGUGAAGACUAUUGUCUCUGAUUCCAGGAUGUGCCAUCUGCCUGGCUUCAGAGACUGGCCUUCCUCUUUGUGUUUUGCACAAUGGGCUAUUCUGCACUGGACAUCCACACAUAACUGAAAUAAAUCAUGCCCCAGCCAACAGGCCACCAGAGGACCACUGCAAUAUUUUCCAUGAAAGAAAAGAGAAGACUGCACGCGGCAUUGGGGAGAGAUUAGAAAAAUGUGAAAUUUUCCAUUACAGAAACAUAAUGACAAACACAGUUGGAGGACAGAAAUGGGAAGGAGAGGAGAAGAACAAGACGGGAUAGAAAAGGAAAACUGAAAGGAAAUGAAUAAAUGAACUUUAAAUAUUACUCCCACUCACCUCCUACGUUUAUCAUAACGUCAUUUUCCUUAAAUACUUUGUAAAUAAAGUGCAAAACAGCAUCCGACCUCCAGACCCAAGAACGGCCAUUCUCCAAUGUGACUUUAAUGUAAUUACUCUGUGACGGAUAUAUUUAAAUCUGUAUGUAAACACCGGAGCAGCAAGGUCUACGUAUGAUAGAAAUGUCUGCAUCGAUUACCUGCUAUGAAUGUGAAAUGUUUAAUCUCGUUAAAAAUCUCAUGCCUAAAUUAGGCUCCCUCAGCAGCUUUUUAAAUUGGGCUAUCCAUCAUAUAUAAUGAAGAAGUGACAGAGUGUGUAUGCAGGGGGUUCUAAUAUAAAACUGUUUUAAAAUAUUCUCAUAUUAGCCUUGCUGUGGUGAAUGGCACAGGCUAGCCGGUGAUGUGGUAAACAAUAAAACAGAAGCCAGAAUAAGCCCUGAUCCAAAGCUUUUGUAUAGACCGAGUACCAAAGCAUUGCUGAGGGACAAACGGAGCUUCAAGGAUUUAUUCUCUUUUAAGAAACCAAAAGAAAGGGGGUAAAAAUAGAAAGAGGGAAAGACAUGUGGUGUUGGCCACCACCUGGUGAGAUGUCAUGUACGAUUAAGUGUGUGUUUGUCUGGCACGCUUCAUGCCGUUAUCAAGUGUGGACAGCUCAGCGCAACCACUACACUGCAUACUUUUCUUAUGCUAAUGACUUUGAUAGACCCCUCCUCACUGUUGGUGUACUUCUUGCUAUCCUGCCCACCUUUUCCUGUAGCAUGCCAACUUGUACCACUUUCUAAACCCUUCAAUAACUCACCCUAAACUAACAAUCGCACCACCAGUCUUAAAUCACUAACUCUACAUGGGGUGUAGGGUCUCAAAACCAUAUAACCAACCUUCAUACGCCAGACUCCCCAAGGUCAAAGGGUCAAAGAUUUAGCAUAAUUUAUCAUAUCAGUGCGAGAUAUUCACGGAAGCCACGCGUAGCCCGUUCAUGCUCCUGCUGCCUCUGAUUAGCAUCUCAUUUCACAGGCUUGAUUCUUAAAAAGCCCCCCCUACGCCCCCUUUCCACUAACAUGAUGGGUCAGUUCCUGCCCUGUAGAGACAGAUGCUCACCUAAAAUAUUAUACAGCAACCGUGUCAAACUGACAACCUGGGGGGGGGGGGGGGUUUCUUAGUCAGCAAAUGUUUAGAUGUGGCAUUCUGCGUUUCGCGAUAUUACAAACAACAUUUCAGACAGGCUCGUAAACAUGAUAUUUUAUGCUGCAUUUUGGUUACAGUUAUGUUGCAGUACAAUGUUGUAGACUCCAUACAAAGAAUUUUUUAAAAAUGAUGUAAUUAAAAUACUAUUUAUAUUUUAAGUAUUGAUUAUUUUCAAAAACAACAACAACAAAACAAUAAUGAAUAAUGAACUAUAACUAAAGAAUGUGUUACAUUUACAUCUUAGUAUCAUGCAACCAGUUUGUAAAUGUUAACCUACAAUACUGUUCAAAAGUUUUUUUUUUUUUUACAUUUUUCUUUAAAGUCUCUUAUGCUUAUUAUUUAUUUGUGUAAAAACAGUAACAUUGUGAAAUAUUAUUACAAUUUGAAAGAACUGUUUUUUAUUUUAAUAUAUUUUAUAAUGUAAAUUUAUUCCUGUGGUGACAAAGCUUCGGGAGCCAUUACUCCAGUCUUCAGUGACACCUGAUCCUUCAGAAAUCAUUCUAAUAUGCUGAUUUGAAACAUGUCUAAUUAUUAUCCAUAUUAAAAACAGGAUUCUUUGAUAAAU